UACGUAGGGAGCAAGCGUUGUCCGGAAUCAUUGGGCGUAAAGCGCGCGUAGGUGGCCCUGUAAGUCCGUUGUGAAAGUCAAAGGCUCAACCUUUGAAAGCCGAUGGAUACUGCAGGACUAGAGUACGGAAGAGGCGAGUGGAAUUCCUGGUGUAGCGGUGGAAUGCGCAGAUAUCAGGAGGAACACCAAUAGCGAAGGCAGCUCGCUGGGACGUUACUGACACUGAGGCGCGAAAGCGUGGGGAGCGGACAGG
rnacentral:rRNA from 1 species